rnacentral:rRNA from 1 species
GGCUGGUCCCUGUAUGGGGGCAUGUGCACACUCUGUUUACACAUCCAUUCACACCUGUGCACCCUCUGUAGUUCUAUGGCCUGGGUGGGCUCUGUCCCCCUGCUGUGGUUCUGCGUCUUUACACACACACUACAACAAAGUCUCAUGGAAUGUAUGUCGCGUUUAACGCAAUGAAAUACAACUUUCAGCAACGGAUCUCUUGGCUCUCGCAUCGAUGAAGAACGCAGCGAAAUGCGAUAAGUAAUGUGAAUUGCAGAAUUCAGUGAAUCAUCGAAUCUUUGAACGCACCUUGCGCCCUUUGGCUAUUCCGAAGGGCAUGCCUGUUUGAGUAUCAUGAACACCUCAACUCUCACGGCUUGCUGUGAUGAGCUUGGACUUUGGAGGUCUUGUUGGCCUGUGAGCCAGCUCCUCUUAAAUGAAUUAGCUUGCCGGUGUUUGGUGGCAUCACAGGUGUGAUAACUAUCUACGCUUGUGGUUU